GUUGUGCUUUUAGGGAGAAUAGGAUAGCAGGUUGCCACAAAAAGGAAUGCUAUCACUGCAAUAUGCAGAUAUUGCUCAGUGGCCAUUGCCCAAUGACAUCCAAGUAUCAUCUCUGUUUCAAAUUAUUAAAAGAAGAGAGAGAAAUAGAGAAAGCAUAAAGCUUUUGUUUAUGGCAAAACCCUGUUUUUCUCUCCAAAAUCACUCUGCAAAGAAAACCUCUCUAAUAGACGGAGCAAAACACUUUAGAGCUUGAUAGUUGAGAAGGGAACAAGCUAUUGUAACUUUCUUGAUCUGCAUAGUUCCUCUUCUUUUGUGAUUGACCUUAUUUUGAUGGACCUUGGAUAAGAUCUGUUUGUUUCUUGCAACAUAUUGAAUCUUCAAAACACAAAUGCAGUUACGAUAUCACUGCAAUAUGCAGAUAUAGCUCAGUGGCCAUUGCCCAAUGACAUCCAAGUACCAUCUCUGUUUUAAAUUAUUAAAAGAAGAGAGAGAAAUAGAGAAAGCAAAAAGCAUUUGUUUAUGGCAAAACCUGUUUUUCUCUCCAAAAUCACUCUGCGAAGAAAAUCUCUCUGAUAGACAGAGCAAAACACUUUAGAGCUUCAUAGUUGAGGGGGAAACAAGAUUUUCAGGGGAUCCUUGUCAACUAGCUUAGCGAAAUUCAAUGGCUGCUAAGCAAAGGAGUGGCGGGGAAAAAGUAGGGCCAAGCAGAAGUACAAAUACUAUUCAUGAACCAAAUUCUUCCAAGACAAAGCCGGUACCACAGUUUUUUGGAUGAUAUUUCAAUCCAUCCUGGACAGCAAAAAACUGAAAAUCCCAAAAAAAAUUGUGCAGAUUUAUGGCAGGGGAUUGUCUUUAAUUGCUUCCAUUUCUCUUCCAAAUGGUAGCAAGUGGAAGCUUGGUUGGAGAAAGCUAGAUUUCCAUUGGCUGAUGGAUGACAAACGUUUACAAGACAUUAUUCUAUCCUGUUGAUUCUGAAGAUCAAGAGGUGGAAACUGUAGAUGAUAAUGAAAAUGAUGACAAUGACGACAACAAUGACGACAACGAUGAUGAUGAGGAGGAGGAUGUAUGGGUAGAAUAAUGAACUAAGGACAUCUCACAAAACAUGGUCCAAUGGAUAGCGACGAGAUUGCCACGUGUGAAUUAAAUAACACAUCAGCAAUAAUACUGCGAUGGUAUAAUAUCUUGGGGGAAGGGAAAUAACUCGGACUCGAAAUAGUUCAUCUGAAGUGCUCAUCCAAGACUGUACUCAUUCGAGGUAAAUUAUCCAAGGUAGUUCGAAAUACGACAAAAUCCGAUGUAAUAGUCAAAUUACCAAGAAGAAUUGCAAAGAUUGAAACAACAUUCGAAUAAAUAUUGGGAUUUUAUUAAUAAA